rnacentral:lncRNA from 1 species
AUCCGAUUGCAGGCUGAGAUCAAAUCUCACCAUCGACAACUUUCUUUGUUCGAAGUGAUAAAGUUACUUUAGACUCAAAAAUAGGGGGGGGGGGGCAAGUGUUGUGAAGGAAACUUACCACCCAACCUUAACCUUCCCUCUUUCAGAUUAUAACCGAUCACUUAUCUUGGAUUCAGUGCCGAUGACUUUUUAAAAGGACAAAUGAUCCCCUC